GAUGAAGAACGUAGCGAAAUGCGAUAAGUAAUGUGAAUUGCAGAAUUCGGUGAAUCAUCGAAUCUUUGAACGCACAUUGCGCCCCUCGGUAUUCCGAGGGGCAUGCCUGUUCGAGCGUCAUUAUAACCCUUCAAGCUCAGCUUGGUGUUGGGGCCUGCUGUAACUGGUAGCCCUUAAAAUCAGUGGCAGUGCUAUUAGGCUCUAAGCGUAGUAAUUCUUCUCGCUAUAGUGUGUAGUGAGCGCUUGCCAGAACCCCAAACUUUUAUAUGAUUGACCUCGGAUCAGGUAGGGAUACCCGCUGAACUUAAGCAUAUCAAUAAGCGGAGGA
rnacentral:misc_RNA from 1 species